rnacentral:rRNA from 1 species
AACGCUAGCUACAGGCUUAACACAUGCAAGUCGAGGGGAAACGACAUCGAAAGUUUGCUUUUGAUGGGCGUCAACCGGCGCACGGGUGAGUAACGCGUAUCCAACCUGCCCACCACUUGGGAAUAACCUUGCGAAAGUAAGACUAAUACCCAAUGAUAUCUCUAGAAGACAUCUGAAAGAGAUUAAAGAUUUAUCGGUGAUGGACGGGGAUGCGUCUGAUUAGCUUGUUGGCGGGGUAACGGCCCACCAAGGCAACGAUCAGUAGGGGUUCUGAGAGGAAGGUCCCCCACAUUGGAACUGAGACACGGUCCAAACUCCUACGGGAGGCAGCAGUGAGGAAUAUUGGUCAAUGGACGAGAGUCUGAACCAGCCAAGUAGCGUGCAGGAUGACGGCCCUAUGGGUUGUAAACUGCUUUUAUACAGGAAUAAAGUUAGCCACGUGUGGCUAUUUGUAGGUACUGUAUGAAUAAGGACCGGCUAAUUCCGUGCCAGCAGCCGCGGUAAUACGGAAGGUCCAGGCGUUAUCCGGAUUUAUUGGGUUUAAAGGGAGCGUAGGCCGUCUGUUAAGCGUGUUGUGAAAUGUAGAUGCUCAACAUCUGAAUUGCAGCGCGAACUGGCAGACUUGAGUGUGCGCAACGUAGGCGGAAUUCGUGGUGUAGCGGUGAAAUGCUUAGAUAUCACGAAGAACUCCGAUUG